ACCGAAGCUUAGGCAAUACAGCAAUGUAUUGGGUAGGGGAGCGUUGUAUACGCGGUGAAACAGUAGCGCAAGCGGCUGUGGAGUGUAUAGAAGUGAGAAUGCCGGAAUGAGUAGCGCGAAUGCAGUGAGAAUCUGCAUGGCCGAAAGCCUCAGGUUUCUGGAGGAAGGUUCGUCCGCUCCUGGUUAGUCGGGAGCUAAGGUGAGGCCUAACGGCGUAGCCGAUGCACAGACGGUAGAGAUUCCGUCACCACCAAAAGAGUUAAACACAGGGACACAUUUGAAGUCUCGGAGCCGGGUGUUGGUUCCGGUAGCGAUCGAGGGAAAUUAGUACCGAAGUCCGGGAUGGAAGAUGGCGAGAAAAGCUGUGUGUAUUUCUGCGGUGCCCGUACCGCAAACCGACACAGGUAGGUAGGAAGAAGAUUCUAAGGCCAACGGGAGAAGGGUUGUUAAGGAACUCGGCAAAUUGACCCCGUAACUUCGGGAGAAGGGGUGCUCUAGAGAUAGAGCUGCAGAGAAUCGGCCCAAGCAACUGUUUACCAAAAACACAGGUUUGUGCUAAAUCGAAAGAUGACGUAUACGAGCUGACGCCUGCCCGGUGCUGGAAGGUUAAGAGGAGAUGUGCAAGCAUUGAAUCGAAGCCCCAGUGAACGGCGGCCGUAACGAUAACGGUCCUAAGGUAGCGAAAUUCCUUGUCAGGUAAGUUCUGACCCGCAUGAAAGGCGUAAUGAUUUGGGCACUGUCUCGACAGCCCGCCCGGCGAAAUUGUAGUACCGGUGGAGAUGCCGGUUACCCGCGACAAGACGGAAAGACCCCAUGGAGCUUUACUGUAGCCUAAUAUUGGGUUUCGAUGUUGCAUGCACAGGAUAGAUGGGACACUGGGGAGCAAGUGCUUUGGCAUUUGUGGAGUGGCCGUUGGGAUACCAUCCUUGCGAUAUUGGAAUUCUAACCUGCGCCUUUGGAUCAAGGCGGGGGACAUUGUUAGGUGGGCAGUUUGACUGGGGCGGUCGCCUCCUAAAGAGUAACGGAGGCGUUCAAAGGUUCGCUCAGCUUGAACGGAAAUCAAGCAAAAGAGUGCAAACGCAGAAGCGAGCCUAACUGCGAGACUGACGGGUCGAGCAGUAACGAAAGUUGGAGUUAGUGAUCCGGUGGUAUGUGAGUGGAAAUGCCAUCGCUCAACGGAUAAAAGUUACCCUGGGGAUAGCAGGCUGAUCUCCCCCAAGAGUCCACAUCGACGGGGAGGUUUGGCACCUCGAUGUCGGCUCAUCGCAUCCUGGGGCUGUAUUCGGUCCCAAGGGUUUGGCUGUUCGCCAAUUAAAGCGGUACGCGAGCUGGGUUCAGAACGUCGUGAGACAGUUCGGUCCCUAUCUGUCGUGGGCGCAGGAUAUUUGAUGGGAGCUGUUCCUAGUACGAGAGGACCGGAGCGGACGUACCUCUGGCGCACCAGUUGUUCUGCCAAGGGCAUAGCUGGGCAACUAUGUACGGAUCGGAUAAACGCUGAAAGCAUCUAAGCGUGAAGCCGACCCAAAGAUAAGAUAUCCCAUUGUUUCAAACAAGUAAGACCCCUUGAAGACUACAAGGCUGAUAGGCAUGAUGUGUAAGUGGAGUGAUCCAUUCAGCAAGCGUGUACUAAUAGGUCGAGGGCUUGACC
rnacentral:rRNA from 1 species